rfam:Colletotrichum gloeosporioides Nara gc5 unplaced genomic scaffold scaffold632, whole genome shotgun sequence.
ACAUACGACCAUACCCAUUGGAAAACUCGGGAUCCCGUCCGCUCUCCCAUAGAUAAUCAAUGAGGGCUGGAGUAGUAGUCGGGUCGGGUCGGUGACGACCGGCGAAUGCCCGGUGUUGUAUGUU